AUGCUGACAUGAGUAACGAUAAAGGGGGUGAAAAACCUCCUCGCCGGAAGACCAAGGGUUCCUGUCCAACGUUAAUCGGGGCAGGGUAAGUCGACCCCUAAGGCGAGGCCGAAAGGCGUAGUCGAUGGGAAACGGGUUAAUAUUCCCGUACUUCUUACAAUUGCGAUGGGGGGACGGAGAAGGCUAGGUGGGCCUGGCGACGGUUGUCCAGGUUCAAGUGCGUAGGCUUAAGAGUUAGGUAAAUCCGGCUCUUUUUAAGGCUGAGACACGACGUCGAGCAUCUACGGA
rnacentral:rRNA from 1 species